rnacentral:rRNA from 1 species
GAUGAACGCUGGCGGCGUGCCUAAUACAUGCAAGUCGAGCGAACGGACGAGAAGCUUGCUUCUCUGAUGUUAGCGGCGGACGGGUGAGUAACACGUGGAUAACCUACCUAUAAGGCUGGGAUAACUUCGGGAAACCGGAGCUAAUACCGGAUAAUAUUUUGAACCGCAUGGUUCAAAAGUGAAAGACGGUCUUGCUGUCACUUAUAGAUGGAUCCGCGCUGCAUUAGCUAGUUGGUAAGGUAACGGCUUACCAAGGCAACGAUGCAUAGCCGACCUGAGAGGGUGAUCGGCCACACUGGAACUGAGACACGGUCCAGACUCCUACGGGAGGCAGCAGUAGGGAAUCUUCCGCAAUGGGCGAAAGCCUGACGGAGCAACGCCGCGUGAGUGAUGAAGGUCUUCGGAUCGUAAAACUCUGUUAUUAGGGAAGAACAUAUGUGUAAGUAACUGUGCACAUCUUGACGGUACCUAAUCAGAAAGCCACGGCUAACUGCGUG